UAUAUCAAAGUAAGUGAAAAUAUAAUAUAUGAGCUCAUUCUUGCCACAAUUGCCAAUUAGUUUUUGAGGUCAUAUUGACUACCAAGAUGGCGUUGGCAGGCCUUCCGGAACAUUCCGCCUUUGGUUCAACACAAUAGAACUUCCUCACCGGGGUGUAUGUGUGUGUGUGUCUCCCUAACAGUGACUGUGAUGUCACAAAGUGAGAGCAUUUCUAUCUAGACAGACUUUUAACUUGCAAUAACAAUUGUACGUGGGUUUUAUCUGCUUGGCCUAAACCAGGGAUUGCCAGUCUGUGACCUUCCAGACACGAUGAAGUUUGCCCUUUUAUCUGUUUAUUUUAUUUAUUAAAUUUAUAUAAUGCCUUUCGACUAAAGAUCACGAGGCAGUUUGUAGCAUAAAAAUACAAACACCCGCAACAGAACAUCACACGUUCCUCUGUGACAAGUCACCAAGAAAGGAAAUGAUAUUGCAGAAGGAGACAGCUACAGGGCAGGAUUCAAUAAUGAGGGUCAAGAUGCAACGAGCCCCUUGAGCAGUAAAAGCCCUUCUACAGGCAUACAAGGACCAGAGUAAAACACAUCAGCAGCAGCUCAAAAUACCCAGGUUAAAAAGCCGGUUUUUAAGAGGAACACGUCUGCUACUGCACCACACUCUGGCGCUGUCAAGUGCAUGAGUGUGUGGGAUUUGAGGAGCUGCCAUCUCUGAAGGACAGUGGCAAGUGACAAACUUCAUCCAGGGGAAAGGAGAUCAAGACAGGACAUGUUAUAAAUAAAGUGGUACCUUGGUUUCAACACUUUCAUUCUCAGACUCCAAAAACUUGGAAGUGUGUGUUCCAUUUUUUACUCAUGGUCGGCGAUAAACUUCAUUUCAUUUCUCUUUGCUUGCAAUUAUUGUAUGCAUUUUGUUUCUUAUAAUAUUGAUCGUGACGAUAAGGGUUUGUAACCAAUGUGAGUCCUGCUCGGAGUAGACCCAUUGAAAUGACUAGACAUAACUAACUUGUGUACAUUAAUUUUAGUCUACUCUUGAGCAGAACUUGCAUGCAUUUAACUCA